UUAAGUUCAGCGGGUAAUCCUACCUGAUUUGAGGUCAGAUUGUCAAAUGUUGUCUGUGAAGACGAUUAGAAGCGAAGCCUCAACAUGUCACUUCUCAAUGGCGUAGAUAAUUAUCACACCAUAGAUUAGCGGCAAAAGCUCUGCUAAUGCAUUUAAGGAUAGCCGACUCAGGAAGCCCGCAAACCCCAUGAUCCAAGCCA
rnacentral:misc_RNA from 1 species